GUAAGUUAGCAGUUCGGCAAAAGAGACCGAUAGAAUAAGUGCUACGUGGCUUAAAAACGAAAAGUGCUGCGGUCGAUUCAUUCGACAAUAAAUUCUUCAAGGCGGUACCCCAGCAUGGCCGCAGUCUAAUGACUGAAACAAG